UCACUUUGCUAGUGCAUGUUCUACAAUCCAAGAUUGCAAAGAUUAGCAUGGCUCCUGUGCAAGGACAACACACAACUUUGUGACUCAUUUCAUGUUUUU
rnacentral:snRNA from 1 species